rnacentral:tmRNA from 1 species
GGGGAUGAAAGGAUUUCGACGGGGACACUGAAACACGAUAAGCGGGUAGCGGUGGGGAACCGCUUAAAACUCCUCAAGUUUAGAAAUAAACGACGAAAAAUUAGAAUUAAAAGCUGCUUAAUUUAAGCAGCCGUUCUCCCCGGGAGUACUGCGGCCCGGGACAGAGCGUCAAGCAGCAGUGAACGUGAACGGGUAAGCGUCGCAUAGCCCGUCAUGAACAAUGCGGCUACUUUUCCCGAAAGUCUGUUAAGAGACGCUCGGGACGGGGAAUGCAAAUUCUUAACUACACUCGUAGAAAGUUGUGCGGAUGGGUUUUCGGACGCGAGUUCGACUCUCGCCAUCUCCAU